GGCGGCCGUAACUAUAACGGUCCUAAGGUAGCGAAAUUCCUUGUCGGGUAAGUUCCGACCUGCACGAAUGGCGUAAUGAUGGCCAGGCUGUCUCCACCCGAGACUCAGUGAAAUUGAACUCGCUGUGAAGAUGCAGUGUACCCGCGGCAAGACGGAAAGACCCCGUGAACCUUUACUAUAGCUUGACACUGAACAUUGAGCCUUGAUGUGUAGGAUAGGUGGGAGGCUUUGAAGCGUGGACGCCAGUCUGCGUGGAGCCAACCUUGAAAUACCACCCUUUAAUGUUUGAUGUUCUAACGUUGGCCCCUGACCGGGGUUGCGGACAGUGUCUGGUGGGUAGUUUGACUGGGGCGGUCUCCUCCCAAAGCGUAACGGAGGAGCACGAAGGUUAGCUAAUCCUGGUCGGACAUCAGGAGGUUAGUGCAAUGGCAUAAGCUAGCUUGACUGCGAGCGUGACGGCGCGAGCAGGUGCGAAAGCAGGUCAUAGUGAUCCGGUGGUUCUGAAUGGAAGGGCCAUCGCUCAACGGAUAAAAGGUACUCCGGGGAUAACAGGCUGAUACCGCCCAAGAGUUCAUAUCGACGGCGGUGUUUGGCACCUCGAUGUCGGCUCAUCACAUCCUGGGGCUGAAGUAGGUCCCAAGGGUAUGGCUGUUCGCCAUUUAAAGUGGUACGCGAGCUGGGUUUAGAACGUCGUGAGACAGUUCGGUCCCUAUCUGCCGUGGGCGCUGGAGAAUUGAGGGGGGCUGCUCCUAGUACGAGAGGACCGGAGUGGACGCAUCACUGGUGUUCGGGUUGUCAUGCCAAUGGCACUGCCCGGUAGCUAAAUGCGGAAGAGAUAAGUGCUGAAAGCAUCUAAGCACGAAACUUGCCCCGAGAUGAGUUCUCCCUGAGACUAUAAGUCUCCUGAAGGAACGUUAAAGACGAUGACGUUGAUAGGCCGGGUGUGUAAGCGCAGCGAUGCGUUGAGCUAACCGGUACUAAUGAACCGUGAGGCUUAACCUUACAACGCCGAAG
rnacentral:rRNA from 2 species